GGGUUUGAUCCUGGCUCAGGAUGAACGCUGGCGGCGUGCCUAAUACAUGCAAGUCGAGCGAACGGACGAGAAGCUUGCUUUUCUGAUGUUAGCGGCGGACGGGUGAGUAACACGUGGAUAACCUACCUAUAAGACUGGGAUAACUUCGGGAAACCGGAGCUAAUACCGGAUAAUAUUUUGAACCGCAUGGUUCAAAAGUGAAAGACGGUCUUGCUGUCACUUAUAGAUGGAUCCGCGCUGCAUUAGCUAGUUGGUAAGGUAACGGCUUACCAAGGCAACGAUGCAUAGCCGACCUGAGAGGGUGAUCGGCCACACUGGAACUGAGACACGGUCCAGACUCCUACGGGAGGCAGCAGUAGGGAAUCUUCCGCAAUGGGCGAAAGCCUGACGGAGCAACGCCGCGUGAGUGAUGAAGGUCUUCGGAUCGUAAAACUCUGUUAUUAGGGAAGAACAUAUGUGUAAGUAACUGUGCACAUCUUGACGGUACCUAAUCAGAAAGCCACGGCUAACUACGUGCCAGCAGCCGCGGUAAUACGUAGGUGGCAAGCGUUAUCCGGAAUUAUUGGGCGUAAAGCGCGCGUAGGCGGUUUUUUAAGUCUGAUGUGAAAGCCCACGGCUCAACCGUGGAGGGUCAUUGGAAACUGGAAAACUUGAGUGCAGAAGAGGAAAGUGGAAUUCCAUGUGUAGCGGUGAAAUGCGCAGAGAUAUGGAGGAACACCAGUGGCGAAGGCGACUUUCUGGUCUGUAACUGACGCUGAUGUGCGAAAGCGUGGGGAUCAAACAGGAUUAGAUACCCUGGUAGUCCACGCCGUAAACGAUGAGUGCUAAGUGUUAGGGGGUUUCCGCCCCUUAGUGCUGCAGCUAACGCAUUAAGCACUCCGCCUGGGGAGUACGACCGCAAGGUUGAAACUCAAAGGAAUUGACGGC
rnacentral:rRNA from 1 species